rnacentral:snoRNA from 1 species
GCCACAUGAUGUUUUCAUUUUGAAAAGUGAGAGCUUUGCGCAGUGACGACUUUUAUCUCCUUGACUGAACUGAUGGCU